rnacentral:rRNA from 1 species
UACGGAGGGGGCAAGCGUUGUUCGGAGUUACUGGGCGUAAAGCGCGCGUAGGCGGUGCGGUAAGUCAGGGGUUAAAGGCUGCAGCUCAACUGCAGUAAGGCCUUUGAUACUAUCGCGCUAGAGUACCAGAGAGGAUGGCGGAAUUCCCGGUGUAGCGGUGAAAUGCGUAGAUAUAUGGAGGAACACCGGUGGCGAAGGCGGCCAUCUGGCUGAUAACUGACGCUGAGGUGCGAGAGCGUGGGGAGCAAACAGG